rnacentral:rRNA from 1 species
AGUGAACGCUGGCGGUAGGCCUAACACAUGCAAGUCGAACGGCAGCACAGUAAGAGCUUGCUCUUACGGGUGGCGAGUGGCGGACGGGUGAGGAAUACAUCGGAAUCUACUUUUUCGUGGGGGAUAACGUAGGGAAACUUACGCUAAUACCGCAUACGACCUACGGGUGACAGCAGGGGAUCUUCGGACCUUGCGCGAUUGAAUGAGCCGAUGUCAGAUUAGCUAGUUGGCGGGGUAAAGUCCCACCAAGGCGACGAUCCGUAGCUGGUCUGAGAGGAUGAUCAGCCACACUGGAACUGAGACACGGUCCAGACUCCUACGGGAGGCAGCAGUGGGGAAUAUUGGACAAAGGGCGCAAGACUGAUCCAGCAAUACCGCGUGGGUGAAGAAGGCCUUCGGGUUGUAAAGCCCUUUUGUUGGGGAAGAAAAGCAGCAGGUUAAUACCCCGCGGUUCUGACGGUACCCAAAGAAUAAGCACCGGCUAACUUCGUG